AGCUCAGUCGGUUAGAGCGGCGGACUCAUAAUCCGCGGGUCGUAGGUUCGAGUCCUACUGGGCCCA
rnacentral:tRNA from 1 species